ACGUAGGGGGCAAGCGUUGUCCGGAAUUACUGGGCGUAAAGGGCACGCAGGCGGUAUAAUAAGUCAGAUGUGAAAGUUUACAGCUUAACCGCGAAAGUGCAUUUGAAAUUGCUGGACUUGAGUCUCGGAGAGGGAAGCGGAAUUCCUAGUGUAGCGGUGAAAUGCGUAGAUAUCGGGAGGAACACCAGUGGCGAAGGCGGCUUACUGGACGAGUACUGACGCUCAUGUGCGAAAGCGGGGGGAGCAAACGG
rnacentral:rRNA from 1 species